GUUGCUUGGUUGAAGGGCUCUCAGAGGGGCUAAGGAAGCUGAUGCAUUCUGUCUUUCUGACAAAAGACACUUUCAGAAACUGGCCAAACCCUGGCCAAGCAGCUCUCAGGCUGCUUCUGUCCCACCUGAGGUCACCUCUGUGCUGGGUGCUGAGACGUGAGACGGUGUUUGUGUGUGUGUGUGUGUGUGAGAGAGAGAGAGAAAGAGAGAGAGAGAGAGAGAGAGUGUGUGUGUGUGUGUAGGGGGAAGAAGUGUAUGUUUGUAUGUGUGGGUCAGGUCACUCCGGGUGAACAUCCUCCCCAGCCCCCUCUCCCACAUUCUUGGCCCCAGUGGGAGAUAAGGCUCAGGGCCACAGACCUCUGCGUCAGAGAUAGGAGGUCUCAAUGCCAUGGGCAGGGGUGACUUGGACUGCAGGGCGUGGGAAGGGCUGGGG
rnacentral:lncRNA from 1 species